UACAGAGGUCUCAAGCGUUGUUCGGAUUCAUUGGGCGUAAAGGGUGCGUAGGCGGCGCGGUAAGUCGGGGUGUGAAAUCUCGGAGCUUAACUCCGAAACUGCAUUCGAUACUGCCGUGCUUGAGGACUGGAGAGGAGACUGGAAUUUACGGUGUAGCGGUGAAAUGCGUAGAUAUCGUAAGGAAGACCAGUGGCGAAGGCGGGUCUCUGGACAGUGACUGACGCUGAGACGCGAAAAGCGUGGGGGAGCAAACAGG
rnacentral:rRNA from 1 species